GGGGUGAAAGAUACCAGAGGGACAUUCAAUGUGCCAGUUUAUGUCAAAGCAUUGGUUAAGAAAACUUUAAUAAUUAAACUUCCAAUUAGUAUUGAAUAUUCAUCAGUCAUUACAUUUCGCUUUUCAAUGUUGGUUCAACUUUGAUUUAAUAUUUAAACAUAUUGCUCAACUAUUUUAAUUUUAGAUCAUUAUUUUCACAUGUU
rnacentral:lncRNA from 1 species